GACGAACGCUGGCGGCGUGCUUAACACAUGCAAGUCGAGCGGAAAGGCCCUUCGGGGUACUCGAGCGGCGAACGGGUGAGUAACACGUGGGUAACCUGCCCUUCACUCUGGGAUAACUCCGGGAAACCGGGGCUAAUACCGGAUACGACCACUUUAGGCAUCUUCGGUGGUGGAAAGUUUUUCGGUGGAGGAUGGACCCGCGGCCUAUCAGCUUGUUGGUGGGGUAAUGGCCUACCAAGGCAGUGACGGGUAGCGG
rnacentral:rRNA from 1 species